rnacentral:rRNA from 1 species
GGAUAAUCCAUUUACCACCCUGAACGCGCCCGAUCUCGUCUGAUCUCAGAAGCUAAGCAGGGUCGGGCCUGGUUAGUACUUGGAUGGGAUAAUCCAUUUAAUACACUUGGUGGAGUUUCUG